rnacentral:rRNA from 1 species
AUACGUAGGGGGCGAGCGUUGUCCGGAAUGAUUGGGCGUAAAGGGCGCGUAGGCGGCGCGGUAAGUCUGGAGUGAAAGUCCUGCUUUCAAGGUGGGAAUUGCUUUGGAUACUGCCGCGCUUGAGUGCAGGAGAGGUUAUCGGAAUUCCCGGUGUAGCGGUGAAAUGCGUAGAGAUCGGGAGGAACACCAGUGGCGAAGGCGGGUAACUGGACUGCAACUGACGCUGAGGCGCGAAAGUGUGGGCAGCAAACAGGAUUAGAUACCCUGGUAGUCCACACUGUAAACGAUGAAUGCUAGGUGUAAGAGGUAUCGACCCCUUUUGUGCCGGAGUCAACACAAUAAGCAUUCCGCCUGGGGAGUACGGCCGCAAGGUUGAAACUCAAAGGAAUUGACGGGG